GAUGAAGAACGUAGCGAAAUGCGAUAAGUAAUGUGAAUUGCAGAAUUCAGUGAAUCAUCGAAUCUUUGAACGCAUCUUGCGCUCCUUGGUAUUCUGAGGAGCAUGCCUGUUUGAGUGUCAUUAAAUUCUCAACCGCACUGACUUUGAAUUGGUGUGGCUUGGAUUUGGGGGGAAAAUUGUUGUGGGCUUUUUUGUAUAGUCUGCUCCCCUGAAAUUGAUUAGCGGUACCUUUGUGGAACUGUCUACAGGUGUGAUAAUUAUCUACAUCCUAGACAUCUGCUGGAAUGCUGCUUUCUAAACCUUACUUGUAUUGACAAUCUUGACCUCAAAUCAGGUAGGACUACCCGCUGAACUUAAGCAUAUCAAUAACGGAGGA
rnacentral:misc_RNA from 1 species